UCCAGAUUGCGAGCUGCUCUACUACAGAGCCAUGUAGGGCUUGAUGCUGAAUAUUGUUUGGGUUUUGUGAUAAUGCUUCGAUUAUUUAACAUCACUUAUUAAACUCAAGAUGUAUGCAUCAAGUUGCGUGUGCAAAACCCAGUGGUUUUUGAGUCGUGCUCAUGUACAGUAAAUGUUUAAUAUUCGCGGGGUGGGGGGAAUACUUUGCUGGAGAACGGCGAAAAUAUUAAGUCUACGAAAUAAUAAUAAUACUUGAAAUUAGGGUAAGGGGGCAUGAAUAUAUAUUACGAUUAAACCAUGUGAACUAUGUUUAUAUCAUUUAAUACAUAUAUUGUGUUAUAUUGUGUUAUUCAACCUGCCUAUAAUUAUGAUGCACACUAACAUUUAAAAGUGCAGAUAUAAAUAAGUGGAUAUUAUACGAUACGUAAGUCCAAAAAGUAGAAGAAAGCACUCGCGUCUACCGUAAGCGGUGCGGCAGACGAAGGCGGACGAGGGAGAGCGUCGCCAUCGGCACCGUGGUGGUGAGAUGUUAACUACCUCGCCUGGUGUACAGGAGGUCGUGGGUUCCACCACCAUCAUCACUGGCUAGGAGAUGUUGACUACCUCGCCUGGUGUACAGGAGGUCGUGGGUUCCACCACCACCAUCAUCACAGUGGCUAGGAGAUGUUGACUACCUCGCCUGGUGUACAGGAGGUCGUGGGUUCCACCACCAUCAUCACAGUGGCUAGGAGAUGUUAACUACCUUGCCUGGUGUACAGGAGGUCGUGGGUUCCACCACCACCAUCAUCACAGUGGCUAGGAGAUGUUAACUACCUCGCCUGGUGUACAAGAGGUCGUGGGUUCCACCACCAUCAUCACGGUGGCUAGGAGAUGUUAACUACCUCGCCUGGUGUACAGGAGGUCGUGGGUUCGACCCCGACCCUUGACGCCUGCUGUAUAUUUGUAGUUUGCGUGUCUCUCUCCCCGUGGUGGUCAUGUAGGGUUUUCCCCCUCUACAUUUAGGAUAAACAUCACGCUUUUAGAGUGUUCGACUGCAGCUAAACAUUUCCACGUGAUGAGCCGCUUUGUUGACCUAUCAUUUUUGGCAAGGUCGCUUCUGGUGUACAGGAGGUCGUGGGUUCGACCACCACCACCAUCAUCACAGUGGCUAGGAGAUGUUAACUACCUCGCCUGGUGUAAAAAAAAGUUUACAGUUUUAACUUUUGCCGUUUCACAAUCUCCACCGCUCCCAUGUGCCACAACUUGCUAGUAGCGUGCUAUGACUGUGGAUAUUAAAAAUACAACCCCAUAAAUGCCAAAUAGCACUACAACAUUUUCGCGAAUGUUCAAAACCGCGAUAAAAUGCCCCCGCGAAUAUUAAGGAUUUGCUGCUCAACGAUGAGGAGUUGCAUUUAUUUCUUAAACAUCGCAGCAUCUCAAAGCGGCUCGUGUUGAUAUAGGAAAUGCAAAACGCAUCGGAGCAAAACGCGCAGAGGUAUCGGGAAAGAAGAAGACGGAUUAUGAUGCAAAUAAUAUAACAACUUGCAUAGACUCGCUGUGCCCAAAAUUGUCCAUGAAAUACGUUGCCUUCAAACUUUCGGGAAGACGAUAUCACCGCUUACGCUGUGCGUGUGUCUACCCGAACAUUUAAAGUUGCAUUUAGAAAAAUUUGAUGUUGAAUGUAAAAUGCAGAUUAAGAAAAUCCUUGGUCCCAAAUGUCAUGGUUCAAGCAGUUAAUUAUUGUUCUACUUGUGACAUUUUUUUCAUCAUACUCGUAACAAUCGCUUGACAAUAUUGCAGAUGUAGAUAUAAUUGAACUCGUUAUUGGCGGCGACGAAAACAUCGCCUACGUUUUGCGCCGCGUCAGUGUGGAUGUGCUCUCUUAAAAACGUGUCACUUUAAAAUUGCCUGCGAAGCGUAAUCGUGUUGUUUAGAUCUUCUAAAAGCGUUCUGUUUCAUGAAUCGCCGUAAAAGCUGAACAGCUUUUAAAGAUCCAUAAUAGAGGUUUUUUGGUUUAGAUCAUGUAAAUAUAUAAAUGUGUCAUUAAGCCCGCCACCACCCGACACAGCAAACUAGUAAGGUUUGUCACGUAAACGGAACGUGGACAAUUCGUCACUAGUACAGCACACCGGUGUGUUGGAGAGCCAAGCCACAACAUUUACAAUCUGAGUACGACGUUUCGCCAGUAAUUACAACUAGCUUCAUCAGGCGACAGCCAGAUUUUACUAAAUGGCUGUGUUAGGUGGUGGUGGGUUAAACGACACAUUUACACGAUCUAACCCAAAAAAAUGUAUUGUGGAUAUUGGUCGCGAAUGCCUGCGUGUUGAAGCUUUUAAAGAUGUCCACAAAUAGCAGUGCAUUUUUGAGACAGGAGGUUGAGCUCUUGCAUCGCUUAAUUUUUGACAUCGGGUCAAACUGUGCACGUGUGUAAAACAGGAGAGAAUGUGUUGAUUGUGGGACAGCAGCAUCGUGCAAUAAUGUUAGUUUCUUGUUGUUGCGAUGUACAUACAAAGUGUUGGUUUGAAAUUCACACUUGCAACCAAACCCUGCAAGGAAAAUGUACAUUUUGGUGAGUGCAAAUUUCGGUAAAUUUCAAAUGAAAAUUGUUGGUGAUGGUAAUCGUAUCACUUCUGAAGUAUUGCUCCAAAACAGUAGACAAUCCCAAUGUCUCGAGCCAGUUAUGAAUAUCUGUAAUACCCAUCUCAUUUCAAGACACCCUUUAAAGUUACUUUCCAGCCCUGUAUCGAUCCACUUCUGGAUGAAGACCUCCCCCCCCCCCCACACUGUUGACCAUGGGCAUGUUGUUUGACGAUACGUCACCAUGCUGGUAUUUCGUGCGGGUUGAUGAAGGUGUCAAUGGAUCAAUAUUUAUUUUACGUGCUAAUAUCGGACCUAGGUAAAGUCGGCAUCGGUGCACAUUACAGGAGAACGGUACCCGGGGCAUCCAGCAACAAGAGUGAGAAUAAACUCCUUUAAAAAAAAUUACAACCACGAAGAUGAAUCCCUGCAGUCACGAAAGCUUUAAAUCGAAAUUUAACCACGGUUUUAUCCACAACUUCGUUUAACUCACGCUCGAGAAGUACGUCAAUGAUACGGCGCCUGCUCCCACGUCAACGCUUUUACUUGAAUUCAUUGAUUACUUCCGGAAGUCGUUGACACGGAGCAGGCGCGCCUGAGACACGUGGCGCCUGCUUCUUGGGCGAGGCGAUUGGAGAGUUUAGGGGGCCCCGCUGCGUUUUUGACCUACACAAAUAUAAAUAGGCGUCCAUGCAAAAUAGAAAAUUGCUUUAAAGUAGCAAAUUUAUUGAUGGAUUGAUGCCGAUUUUGAUACAGUCAUGCAUUGUCACCGGAUCUGAGUUCGUGUGCAAAAUGUGGAAUUAAUUGGACAACGGGAAGUGGUCGAAAUUUUUAUUACAAGAUUCGACCACCACAAACGGAGGAAUCAAGUUAAGUAAAACCGUUGGAAAAAAAACCCCGUCACAACCUCGGCAGCUAACGCCGACUGAGCAUGUAUGUAUAUGUAUAUGUUGAACUUUUUUCGCGCCGUAUGUAGCCAACCGUGCUAAUCGUUAUCGAUGUGUGGCUCCACAAAAAAUCCGUUCUAUAAAAAAAAUCGUUUUCAAUCUCGAUUUUAAAGUGAAGCGCAUCGCUCCAGUGGCUUCCGAAUAAAGUGAAUUGGCCAUGACCGCGGUGCCCCCCAGGACCGGUUCAGAUAUCCGCUCGCCACUGUCGCGAGCCAUGGCUGGUAUAAUCGAAGGCAGGUUGCAGGGAUCGUAGUGUGUUGCAUGAGCCCUGUCACCAUGAGGUGCCACGUGUAUUUUUUCUUGUUUUACAAAUGAAAUGUUGAAGAAAUGUUGCGUCUUUCGGUUAACUGCCCUUCUAGGUUUAAUAAAAUACUUAACCUAC